rnacentral:rRNA from 1 species
GAUGAACGCUGGCGACGUGCCUAAUACAUGCAAGUCGAGCGAAUGGAUUAAGAGCUUGCUCUUAUGAAGUUAGCGGCGGACGGGUGAGUAACACGUGGGUAACCUGCCCAUAAGACUGGGAUAACUCCGGGAAACCGGGGCUAAUACCGGAUAACAUUUUGAACCGCAUGGUUCGAAAUUGAAAGGCGGCUUCGGCUGACACUUAUGGAUGGACCCGCGUCGCAUUAGCUAGUUGGUGAGGUAACGGCUCACCAAGGCAACGAUGCGUAGCCGACCUGAGAGGGUGAGCGGCCACACUGGGACUGAGACACGGCCCAGACUCCUACGGGAGGCAGCAGUAGGGAAUCUUCCGCAAUGGACGAAAGUCUGACGGAGCAACGCCGCGUGAGUGAUGAAGGCUUUCGGGUCGUAAAACUCUGUUGUUAGGGAAGAACAAGUGCUAGUUGAAUAAGCUGGCACCUUGACGGUACCUAACCAGAAAGCCACGGCUAACUACGUGCCAGCAGCCGCCGUAA